AUGGCGACCACCGCCGGCGGGAGGAGCCCCGCGAUGAGCAUGAAGCUGCUGGUGCACACCAAGGCGGGGCGCGUGCUGUUCGCGGAGGCCGGCAAGGACGUCGUCGACUUCCUCUUCUCCCUCCUCGCCCUGCCCGUCGGCACCGCCGUCGGCCUGCUCGGGAGGCGCUCCAUGCCCGGCAGCGCCGGCGACCUCUACGCCAGCGUCCAGAGGCUCGACGCCGACUACCUCCUGCCCGGCGCCGACAUCGACGCGCUCCUCCGCCCCGCCGAGAUGCGCUGGGCGCGGUCCGACUCCGGCGGCUCUGGGCAGGCGGCGGUCUCCGCCGCCACGGGAAGGGCCAAAGGGUUCGUGCAGGGCGUCGUGACGUACACGGUCACGGACAACCUCACCGUGACCCCCAUGUCCGCCAUCUCCAGCAUCACCCUGCUCAACACCUUCCGCGUCAGGGACCUCAGCGCGCUACAGGAGAAGAUCGUGCGGAUCGGCUACAAGGAGGGUUUGGCGAUUCUCAAGGCGUCGCUGCAGUCAAAGACCGUUCUCACCGACGUCUUCCUCGCCCACAAGGCCACAAGGCUCCAUGAUCGGCUGCCUAAAUUAGGUUCACUGUUAAGUGCUCUUGUGGCUGUGCUUGGUGUUCUUCUCUUAUGCAAUGCUGGAUAUGAGUUCCUCCCGCAACUGAUCAUUAAUUAA
rnacentral:rRNA from 1 species